AGCGAACGCUGGCGGCAGGCCUAACACAUGCAAGUCGAACGAAGUCUUCGGACUUAGUGGCGGACGGGUGAGUAACACGUGGGAACGUGCCUUUAGGUUCGGAAUAACUCAGGGAAACUUGUGCUAAUACCGAAUGUGCCCUUCGGGGGAAAGAUUUAUCGUCUUUAGGGCGGCCCGCGUCUGAUUAGCUAGUUGGUGAGGUAAAGGCUCACCAAGGCGACGAUCAGUAGCUGGUCUGAGAGGAUGAUCAGCCACAUUGGGACUGAGACACGGCCCAAACUCCUACGGGGGGCAGCAGGGGGGAAUCUUGAGCAAUGGGCGAAAGCCUGACGCAGCCAUGCCGCGUGAAUGAUGAAGGUUUUAGGAUUGUAAAAUUCUUUUAGCAGGGACGAUAAUGACGGUACCUGCAGAAAAAGCCCCGGCUAACUUCGUGCCAGCCGCCGCCGUAAUAC
rnacentral:rRNA from 1 species